rnacentral:tRNA from 1 species
AGGGCCUUAGUUUAAUUAAAACAUUUGAUUUGCAAUCAUAAGAUGUGAAGUAACAUUUGCAGGCCCUA